AAUAGAUACCCUGGUAGUCCAUGCCGUAAACGUUGGGCACUAGGUGUGGGGCUCAUUCCACGAGUUCCGUGCCGCAGCAAACGCAUUAAGUGCCCCGCCUGGGGAGUACGGCCGCAAGGCUAAAACUCAAAGGAAUUGACGGGGGCCCGCACAAGCGGCGGAGCAUGCGGAUUAAUUCGAUGCAACGCGAAGAACCUUACCAAGGCUUGACAUGCACGGGAAGCCACCAGAGAUGGUGGUCUCUUUGGACACUCGUGCACAGGUGGUGCAUGGUUGUCGUCAGCUCGUGUCGUGAGAUGUUGGGUUAAGUCCCGCAACGAGCGCAACCCUCGUCCCAUGUUGCCAGCGGGUUAUGCCGGGGACUCAUGGGAGACUGCCGGGGUCAACUCGGAGGAAGGUGGGGAUGACGUCAAAUCAUCAUGCCCCUUAUGUCUUGGGCUUCACGCAUGCUACAAUGGCCGGUACAAAGGGCUGCGAUACCGUAAGGUGGAGCGAAUCCCAAAAAGCCGGUCUCAGUUCGGAUUGGGGUC
rnacentral:rRNA from 1 species